AGAUUGAACGCUGGCGGCAUGCCUAACACAUGCAAGUCGAACGGGAGUAGCAAUACUCUAGUGGCGGACGGGUGAGGAAUACGUAGGAAUUUGCCCUUAAGUGGGGGAUAACCCGGGGAAACCCGGAUUAAUACCGCAUGACCUCGAAAGAGCAAAGUGGGGGAUCGCAAGACCUCACGCUUUUGGAGAAGCCUACGUCGGAUUAGCUAGUUGGUGAGGUAAUGGCUCACCAAGGCGACGAUCCGUAACUGGUCUGAGAGGAUGAUCAGUCACGACCGGAACUGAGACACGGUCCGGACUCCGUACGGGAGGCAGCAGUGGGAAUAUUGGACAAUGGGCGCAAGCCUGAUCCAGCAAUGCCGCGUGUGUAGAA
rnacentral:rRNA from 1 species